UACGUAGGGUGCGAGCGUUUGUCCGGAAUUAUUGGGCGUAAAGAGCUCGUAGGCGGUGUGUCGCGUCGGCCGUGAAAACUUGGGGCUUAACCCUGAGCUUGCGGUCGAUACGGGCAUGACUGGAGUUCGGUAGGGGAGACUGGAAUUCCUGGUGUAGCGGUGAAAUGCGCAGAUAUCAGGAGGAACACCGGUGGCGAAGGCGGGUCUCUGGGCCGAUACUGACGCUGAGGCGCGAAAGCUAGGGGAGCAAACGGG
rnacentral:rRNA from 1 species